GACCAAAGUGUUGAGUUCAGUUCUGGGCUUCUUCCCCCAGUCCUGUUAAUUAAUCUUUGGUACAUCAGCUGGCUGAAGAUGAGCAGAUGAUGAGUUGUGCUUGUGGUGCAGCUUUACUAC